AUCCAGUUGACGAGUCCCAAAUAGGACGAAGCGACGCGCGUCCUGGAU
rfam:Schistosoma rodhaini strain Burundi genome assembly, scaffold: SROB_scaffold0001408